rnacentral:tRNA from 1 species
ACCGAAAUAGCCCAGUUGGGAGAGCCUUAGACUAUAGAUCGAAAUUCGAAAAUUCCGUGGUUCGAUCCCGGGUUCCGGAA